rnacentral:sRNA from 1 species
UCUGUUUUGAAACAAUAAUGUUUACUGUCCUCUGCAAUAUCCUCUUUUGCUUGAACCCUUGAGUUCUUUAUUACCAGUAUGCAAUAAAUACAUGUUGCUUCCUCUGAGCAGUCUACUGCUUUGUAGGAGUGAAGAAACUGAGACCUAGAAGGGAAAAUUAGUGCCUGGCCGUGCAAAUCACCAGGGCUUUUGGAGGCCUUGUUACACUGUGAAAACAAGGAACAGCAGAACACAGGAGGUAGACACAGGAAAAUAUGAAUGUCAAGAUCAUUCUAAGCAUGUCUAUGAACUGACUGAGUCCAUUUCAAAGGAAAGGUAAUAUAUGGUCUGUGCUAUUUUAUACUGGAAGUGUUAAAUUUAAAGGCAUCUACCAAGUUCCAGGAAGGAUUGUGAGAGGACGUGACUAGGAGGGAAACAUUGAGCCGGAUGCAAACUUUGUACAAGCUUGACAAUUAUUCUACAGUGGUCAAAGUUCUGAACAAAAAGGUGACACCUGCUCAUCCAGCAGCCAUCAAUGUUAAUGUCAUAAGAUCAAACUAUUGGUGAAUACACAUUUAUUGUAAUUGGAAUUUUUAAUGGUUUUCAUUUAUUAUAGACUGACAAUGAAUGCAACAAGAAUUAUUUCUAAACAAUCCCUGAGAACAGCACAAAUCCUUGGAUAUAAUCAGAAAUAUAUAUUUUUGUGUGUGAAAAUGACCAUUUAAAAUAGCCUCAAAUAAUUUUAUGCUAGGACCUACAACGUCCCUCGACAUGUUUUUUAACUAUGUUUGUAGUGCCAUGCCUCAUUUUUUAACCUUUGAUGGAAGCCUCAAUUGCUAUAAAGAAAGUGGUCGCUUGGUCCUAUAAACAGUUUCACUGGUACUGUACUUUUGGAACAUUUUACUUCUCAUGUCAUGAGUGUAGCCUGCAAUGUCCAGCAAUAGGUAAAAAAUCACUAUCUUUAAUCUUGCUAAUAACCUGAAUAGCACUUCCAUGUAGUAUUAAAGAGAGCUGACAGAAAAAAAUAAUAGUUCAUGCUUGGAUGUUUCUUAACGUACGGAGUAUGAAACAUGAGAUACCAUCAACAAUGUGGUCUUAUCUUCA